GGGUUGUGAGGUUAAGCGACUAAGCGUACACGGUGGAUGCCCUGGCAGUCAGAGGCGAUGAAGGACGUGCUAAUCUGCGAUAAGCGCCGGUAAGGUGAUAUGAACCGUUAUAACCGGCGAUUUCCGAAUGGGGAAACCCAGUGUGACUCGUCACACUAUCAUUAACUGAAUCCAUAGGUUAAUGAGGCGAACCGGGGGAACUGAAACAUCUAAGUACCCCGAGGAAAAGAAAUCAACCGAGAUUCCCCCAGUAGCGGCGAGCGAACGGGGAGGAGCCCAGAGCCUGAAUCAGCAUGUGUGUUAGUGGAAGCGUCUGGAAAGGCGCGCGAUACAGGGUGACAGCCCCGUACACAAAAGCGCACAUGCUGUGAGCUCGAUGAGUAGGGCGGGACACGUGGUAUCCUGUCUGAAUAUGGGGGGACCAUCCUCCAAGGCUAAAUACUCCUGACUGACCGAUAGUGAACCAGUACCGUGAGGGAAAGGCGAAAAGAACCCCGGCGAGGGGAGUGAAAAAGAACCUGAAACCGUGUACGUACAAGCAGUGGGAGCCCCACCACUAAGCCAGUGGUGAAAUCCACAUACGCAUCCUUUGCUGAGGAUACGGUUAACGGAGCGCAAGCGACGUUCAACCUCAAAAGAAGCAGAGGGGGCUUAGUGGUGGGGUGACUGCGUACCUUUUGUAUAAUGGGUCAGCGACUUAU
rnacentral:rRNA from 1 species